rnacentral:rRNA from 1 species
AUGGGACACUUGCUUGCACCAACUUCCAAGCAUGAUGCUGCUCCGAUUGAUUACUGGGCUGCAAUAGUUAACCCAGAGAGAAUUUCUGAUUACAAUUGGUGCGAGUAUGUUUUAAAAGAUUUGUUGAAAGUUGUAUCCAAGUUAAAAAUUGACAUUCUGAACAACCGAACCAUUAAACACUUAGAAGGUUGCCAUCUUUUCCUUCAGGUUUUCUACCUUGAUAACGUUGACUUAGGAAUUUACAAUAUGUCACACAAUACUCUCCCAAUGAUAUCUGAAUUUAAACUAUCAACUUUCAGCGGGAUGAUCCUCCAGUGCAGCAACUCCUCGAAAUAUAUUGAAGAUUAUUCUAAUGUCCGAAUCCGCCCAGCUGCUGAAAUUUGCUACAAACGAGUUGUUUGGGAUUCUACACCUGACAUCCAAACUCCUGGAUUACGCAAUAAACCUUCUAACAGCAACAAUCCAAGCCCGCAGCCUCACACACAGUGUCACCGACAAUCCAGUCCUUCCAUAGGCACUGGUUCAUCUUGGCAUACCACACCGCAAACCAAUGUUUCUUCGCAACACUAUCGCACUCCUCGAUUAUCCACUGCCAAUGACUUUUCGAUUCACAUGAAGGACAAAUACCCUAAUCUGGUAUACACUGAGGUUGGUAUAAUGCUAAAAGAGCACAACGCCAUACCAUUCAAGAUGAUUGCCGAUGUGAAAGACUCCAUAUUGAAAGAGAAUACCCGAUUCCUAGACAAAAUAGCUCCAAAGUUGGAGAAUAGAUGCACAGGCUGUUUAAAAAGAUCAAUCCCCUGCCUGCUUCAACCCGACAAUCAGGCACCCCCACCCAAUGAUAGCACAUUUACCACACCGGAUAACAAUUCUGGAUUGAAAUAUCGAUGUCUCUACACACAUGAUUCUGAAGCUUUUAGUCCAACAUCAUCUUCAACCAACAAAAGGAAAGGAUUACAUACCUCACACCACAGGCAAACAGGCUCUUUGUCAUUGCACAAACCUGAAUCUUCCACCGCUGUUCAUGGCAAAUCGAAGCAUGAUACAAUCAAAUCAUGGGCAAAAACUAUUGUUGGCGGAAUUAUCAUGUACAAUGACGACAUAGCUGUCCCUGAUGGAUCGGUCAUUCUUGGUCAAGAAUCCGCACGCCCUCAAGAAAAAGUUGUUGUCAACCAUUCUCAUUACGCCAUUAGUCAUUGGUCAUCCGGUAGUACCAUCGACUUCCCCUCAAUAGCCCUCCAGGACCGUUUGGCCACUAUCAUUUAUCGCCUACCAAUUGCUGACAAAGAACGAUUCAGUAUCACACACACCUGCCCUAGGUUCAUCACUUUGUCAUCCGAGGCGAUUGCAGACCAACUCGUUGGUUCUGAUAUAAUAGACCAUGAAUUAUUCUCCUUGCUAAUUCGUCGUAUUAGGCAAAUUGAUCAAGAAAUACUUUACCCACACGAUUCUUCACCAUGCCGCCACUACCUCGAACCAGAUUUUGCCAGUAGUGUUUUAUCCAGUGAUAAAGGUCCGGUUGAUGAAAUCUGUACAUGA